rnacentral:rRNA from 1 species
GAUCAUGGCUCGGAUUGAACGCUGGCGGCAGGCUUAACACACGCAAGUCGAACGGUAACAUAAAGAAGCUUGCUUCUUUGAUGACGAGUGGCGGACGGGUGAGUAAUGCUUGGGAAUCUAGCUUAUGGAGGGGGAUAACUACGGGAAACUGUAGCUAAUACCGCGUAAUAUCGAAAGAUUAAAGUGUGGGACCUUCGGGCCACAUGCCAUAGGAUGAGCCCAAGUGGGAUUAGGUAGUUGGUGAGGUAAAGG